UACGUAGGUGGCAAGCGUUGUCCGGAAUUAUUGGGCGUAAAGAGCUCGUAGGCGGUCUGUCGCGUCGGCUGUGAAAUCCCGAGGCUCAACCUCGGGUAUGCAGUCGAUACGGGCAAACUAGAGUAUUGCAGGGGAGACUGGAAUUCCUGGUGUAGCGGUGAAAUGCGCAGAUAUCAGGAGGAACACCGGUGGCGAAGGCGGGUCUCUGGGCAAUAACUGACGCUGAGGAGCGAAAGCGUGGGGAGCGAACAGG
rnacentral:rRNA from 1 species